rnacentral:rRNA from 1 species
CCUACGGGAGGCAGCAGUAGGGAAUCUUCCACAAUGGACGAAAGUCUGAUGGAGCAACGCCGCGUGAGUGAAGAAGGGUUUCGGCUCGUAAAGCUCUGUUGGUAGUGAAGAAAGAUAGAGGUAGUAACUGGCCUUUAUUUGACGGUAAUUACUUAGAAAGUCACGGCUAACUACGUUCCCGCAGCCGCGGUAAUACGUAGGUGGCAAGCGUUUUCCGGAUUUAUUGGGCGUAAAGCUCGUGCCGUCGGUUUCCUUAGUCUUUU